rnacentral:tRNA from 1 species
GCCGCUAUGGUGAAAUUGGUAGACACGUUGCUCUUAGGAAGCAAUGCUUAUGCAUCUCGGUUCAAAUCCGAGUAGCGGCA